AGGGGCAGCAGCUUUAUAGCAAUAUAGAGGCUGGCGACCGGCAAACGGGUGCGGAACACGUACACAACCUUCCUUUAAGAGGGGGAUAGCCCAUAGAAAUGUGGAUUAAUACCCCGUAACAUAUCGGUGUGGCAUCACACUGUUAUUAUAGUUUCGACGCUUGAAGGUGGGCACGCGCAAGAUUAGCUAGUUGGUGAGGUAACGGCUCACCAAGGCGAUGAUCUUUAGGGGGCCUGAGAGGGUGAUCCCCCACACUGGUACUGAGACACGGACCAGACUCCUACGGGAGGCAGCAGUGAGGAAUAUUGGUCAAUGGGUGCAAGCCUGAACCAGCCAUCCCGCGUGAAGGACGACUGCCCUAUGGGUUGUAAACUUCUUUUGUAUAGGGAUAAACCUACCCUCGUGAGGGUAGCUGAAGGUACUAUACGAAUAAGCACCGGCUAACUCCGUGCCAGCAGCCGCGGUA
rnacentral:rRNA from 1 species